CACCGCGGUUAUACGAGAGACUCAAGUUGUUAGUCAUCGGCGUAAAGAGUGGUUAAGAUAAGACAAAAACUAAAACUAAAGCCGAAUGCCCUCAGGGCUGUUAUAAGCGCUACGAAGGUAAGAAGCUCAACGACGAAAGUGGCUUUACCCAAUCUGAACCCACGAAAGCUAGGAAA
rnacentral:rRNA from 1 species